rnacentral:rRNA from 1 species
UACGGGGGGGGCAAGCGUUGUUCGGAAUUACUGGGCGUAAAGGGCUCGUAGGUGGCCAACUAAGUCGGACGUGAAAUCCCUCAGCUUAACUGGGGAACUGCGUCCGAUACUGGAUGGCUUGAGUUUGGGAGAGGGAUGCGGAAUUCCAGGUGUAGCGGUGAAAUGCGUAGAUAUCUGGAGGAACACCGGUGGCGAAGGCGGCAUUCUGGACCAUAACUGACACUGAGAGACGAAAGCCAGGGGAGCAAACGGG